GCCAAUGUGGUGUAGUGGUUUGAGCAUUGGACUAGGACUCUAGAGACCAGGGUUCAAAUCCCAACUCAGCCA